CCUAGUUCGGUGCCAGUGUUUUCAGAAGUGUUUGGGCCGGUUUUGGGGUGUUUUUUUCGGGUUCGAUGAAAACACCCGAAAACACCUCAAAACACUUCUGGCCUGUUCGGUAGGCCGGUUUUGGCCUGUUUAGGCCCGACGAAACACGCCGAAACUCGUCGGGCCGGGGUGGAUCCAAAACGCGCCCCUCCCCUCGCGUUUCUGUCGGGCGGCUGGCGACCAGAGGGCGACGCCUGCGACGAGGGAGGAAGACCACGCCGCCGCCGCUCCAAGAUCACGCCGCCGCCGACGCUGAAAGACGACGCCGCACCGGCUUCCCCUCUCAGGAAACAAGUUGCUUGGACUGAUUUGGCAGGAAACAAGUUGCUUGGACUGAUUUUCUUGUAAUAUUGAAGGGAACAAGCAUGUUUUUAAGAGAACUCUCCCGGGCUGAGUUGGUGCCUUAUUCAACAUCUUGUAGUUUCAGUACUUUGCUCAGAACCAUGUGCCUAUCCACUUCGAAUUUCUCUAUUUGUUUCAUGUCUCCCAAAAAUGGACUAUGAAAUCUGAGGCUAUGAGCUAACUGUUGCUGUAAUGCAUAUUUAUGUAAACGGUUGAACAGAUGCUACCACUUCCAAUUUCUCUAUUUGUUUCAUGGUUUAUGUGCCUAUCCACUUCGAAUUUCUCUA